rnacentral:rRNA from 2 species
GCCAACGUCCAUACCACGUUGAAUACACCGGUUCUCGUCCAAUCACCGAAGUUAAGCAACAUCGGGCGCGGUCAGUACUUGGAUGGGUGACCGCCUGGGAACACCGCGUGACGUUGGCU